CUAUGCGCCUUGCCAGCCCGCUCAGGUGUGCCAGCCGCCGCGGUAAUACGGAGGAUGCGAGCGUUAUCCGGAUUUAUUGGGUUUAAAGGUGCGUAGGUGGUUAAUUAAGUCAGCGGUGAAAGUUUGUGGCUCAACCAUAAAAUUGCCGUUGAAACUGGUUGACUUGAGUAUAUUUGAGGUAGGCGGAAUGCGUGGUGUAGCGGUGAAAUGCAUAGAUAUCACGCAGAACUCCGAUUGCGAAGGCAGCUUACUAAACUAUAACUGACACUGAAGCACGAAAGCGUGGGAUCAAACAGG
rnacentral:rRNA from 1 species